rnacentral:rRNA from 1 species
GAAGUCUAACCUGCCCACUGAUAWAAKAUUUAAGGGCCGCGGUGUUAUGACCGUGCAAAGGUAGCAAAAUCAUUAGGUUUUUAAAUGGAAUCUUGUAUGAAUGGUUGGACAAAGGAAAARCUGUCUUUAUUUUAAAAAUUGAAUUUUACUUUUAAGUGAAAAGGCUUAAAUGUUUUAGAGGGACGAUAAGACCCUAUAAAGCUUUACAUUAUCAUGUAUAUUUGAUUGAAUUUAAAAAUAAAARUUUAAUKUAGUUAUUUGUUAUAUUGGGGAGAUAAAAGUAUAAAUAAUAUUAACUGCUUUUGAUWAAAUCAUUUAUUUAUGUAUWAUUAUAAUARAUCCUUAUAAAUAUAAGAAUAUGAAGAUUAAGUUACUUUAGGGAUAACAGUGUAAUUUUUUUUGAGAGUUCAUAUCGAAAAGAAAGUUUGCAACCUCGAUGUUGAAUUAAAAUAUCUAUAUAAUGUAGUUGUUAUAUAAGARGGUCUGUUCUACCUUU